rnacentral:rRNA from 1 species
UUCAGUAGUCAUAUGCUUGUCUCAAAGAUUAAGCCAUGCAUGUCUAAGUAUACGCAAAUUAUACUGUGAAACUGCCAAUGGCUCAUUAAAUCAGUUAUAGUUUAUUUGAUGUUUCUUGCUACAUGGAUAACUGUGGUAAUUCUAGAGCUAAUACAUGCGUAAAAAGCCCCGACUUCUGGAAGGGGUGUAUUUAUUAGAUAAAAACCAUCCUCCUCGGAGUUUGGUGAUUCAUAAUAACUUCUCGAAUCGCACGGCCUUGUGCUGGCGAUGCUUCAUUCAAAUAUCUGCCCUAUCAACUGUCGAUGGUAGGAUAGAGGCCUACCAUGGUUGCAACGGGUAACGGGGAAUAAGGGUUCGAUUCCGGAGAGGGAGCCUGAGAAACGGCUACCACUUCUACGGAGGGCAGCAGGCGCGCAAAUUACCCAAUCCUGACUCAGGGAGGUAGUGACGAAUAAUAACGAUACGUGACUUCGGUCUAGUAAUUGGAAUGAGUACAAUUUAAACCCCUUAAUGAAUUCCAUU